UACGGAGUGUGCAAGCGUUACUCGGAAUCACUGGGCAUAAAGGGCGUAUAGGCGGGCUUUCAAGUCGGUUGUGAAAUCCCUCAGCUCAACUGAGGAACUGCAUCCGAUACUGUUUGUCUUGAGGACGAGAGGGGAGAGUGGAACUUCUGGUGGAGCGGUGAGAUGCGUAGAUAUCAGAAGGAACGCCGGUGGCGAAAGCGACUCUCUGGCUCGUAUCUGACGCUGAAACGCGAAGGCUUGGGUAGCAAACGGG
rnacentral:rRNA from 1 species